rnacentral:lncRNA from 1 species
CGGUUGGUUUCCCACUAGCAAAAAUUGUCGCACAGUCCCUGUAGGUGGCCGAGACAAGAACAUGGCGCUGAAUUACUAGAAGAAACAGUCUACUCUCCAGUCUCCACUCAAGCAGUAUCAUCAGCAUCAUAAUCAAAGAUGAAAGAGUCACGGGCACCGUCUGAUCGCGAUGAAAGAAAACCAGAGGUAAAAGAAGAUGAUGGUGAUGAUGAUGAAGAAGCAAUUCCUCACAUAUGGGAUUGUGGGAGCCCUUUAUAUGAUUCAUAUGAACUGGUUUCUCUUAGCCAUGUGAUCGAU